rnacentral:rRNA from 1 species
CAAUAGCGUAUAUUAAAGUUGUUGCAGUUAAAAAGCUCGUAGUUGGAUUUGUGGCUGUCACAUGCGGCUCGGCAUUCGUGCCGGUGCUUGCUAGUGUCGCCAUCCUUGGGUGGAGCCUGUGUGGCAUUUAGUUGUCGUGCAGGGGAUGCCCAUCGUUUACUGUGAAAAAUUAGAGUGUUCAAAGCAGGCUUAUGCCGUUGAAUAUAUUAGCAUGGAAUAAUAAGAUAGGACCUUGGUACUAUUUUGUUGGUUUGCGCACCAAGGUAAUGAUUAAUAGGGACAGUUGGGGGUAUUCGUAUUCCAUUGUCAGAGGUGAAAUUCUUGGAUUUACGGAAGACUAACUACUGCGAAAGCAUUUACCAAGGAUGUUUUCAUUAAUCAAGAACGAAAGUUAGGGGAUCGAAGACGAUUAGAUACCGU